rnacentral:SRP_RNA from 1 species
GCCGGGCGUGGUGGCUCACGCCUGUAAUCCCAGCACUUUGGGAGGCAGAGGCGGGUGGAUCACCUGAGGUCAGGAGUUUGAGACCAGCCUGGCCAACAUGGUGAAACCCCGUCUCUA